GUGCAGAUGAGUGUAUGGAGUGAAGUCGUCGCUGUUUUCUCGGUAAUUUACUUUUAACAGUUAUAUUUAUUCAUCAACUAUAGUGGUACUCUACCUAGUAAGCUCACCAAAGCUCAUGGAAAGCGGACUCUCCCGGAUAGAAGAAUCGAACCAGCGCUAACACAACGGAGAAAAAAGCAAACAUCAUUGAGACUGGAAGAUGUCACAUAGAGUUCCAGAUGAUUUGAAAGGAAAUGGUCAAUAUUCUUCAUUGAAGUAUGACACACAAUGUAGGAGAAACAAUUAUACAAGUUUACAAGAGACGAUGAUGCAUAUGCUGAAAUAUUGUACAUAUUUCUG